CUGAUUUAGCGGCGGACGGGUGAGUAACACGUGGGUAAUCUGCCUGUAAGACGGCGAUAACUCCGGGAAACCGGGGCUAAUACCGGAUAAUAAGAGAAGAAGCAUUUCUUCUUUUUGAAAGUCGGUUUCGGCUGACACUUACAGAUGAGCCCGCGGCGCAUUAGCUAGUUGGUGAGGUAACGGCUCACCAAGGCGACGAUGCGUAGCCAACCUGAGAGGGUGCUCGCCCUAACUGGGACUGAGACACGCCCCACACUAAUACGGGAGGCAGCAGUAGGGAAUCUUCGGCAAUGGGCGAAAGCCUGACCGAGCAACGCCGCGUGAGCGAUGAAGGCCUUCGGGUCGUAAAGCUCUGUUGUUAGAGAAGAACAAGUACGAGAGUAACUGCUCGUACCUUGACGGUACCUAACCAGAAAGCCACGGCUAACUACGUGCCAGCAGCCGCGGUAAUACGUAGGUGGCAAGCGUUAUCCGGAAUUAUUGGGCGUAAAGCGCGCGCAGGCGGUCUCUUAAGUCUGAUGUGAAAGCCCACGGCUCAACCGUGGAGGGUCAUUGGAAACUGGGAGACUUGAGUGCAGGAGAGAAAGUGGAAUUCCACGUGUAGCGGUGAAAUGCGUAGAGAUGUGGAGAACACCAGUGGCGAAGGGGCUUUUUGGCCUGUUACUGACGCUGAGGCGCGAAAGCGUGGGGAGCAAACAGGAUUAGAUACCCUGGUAGUCCACGCCGUAAACGAUGAGUGCUAGGUGUGGGGGGUUCCACCCUCAGUGCUGAAGUAAAUAAUUAAGCACUCGCCUGGGGAGUAGAACGCAGGUUGAACUCAAGGAUUGACGGGGCCCGCACAGCAGUGAGCAUGUGUUUAUUCGAAGCACGCAAGAACUUACAGGUUUGACAUCUUUGACACUCUAAAAUAGAGUUUCCCUUCGGGGAAAAAUGACAGGGGGGCAUGUUUUCGUCGCUCAGUCGGAGAUGUGGUUAAGUCCGAACGAGCAACCUUGACUUAGUGCAGCUUCAGUGGCCUCUAAGGGAUGCGGGAAAACGGAGAAGGGGGAUGAGUCAAUAUCAGGCCUUAGACCGGGCACA
rnacentral:rRNA from 1 species